ensembl:lncRNA
AGACACUUUUUACUAUAAUGGAGUUGGGGAAUUUCAGGUUCCGUACACGAUAAUCUUGAGAAUUGUCACUCCCUCCUCACAGGUAAAAAGCUGAGCAAACUGAAAAAUCAGCUGCUCUUCUUAAACCUGCAAGAGACGUGAGGUCACAGGCAAGCCACUGUCCCCAGAUUGGCUGGACAGGUAAAGCGGAGAAUUACCAUACACUGGAGCACAAUGCUCCAAGGAACCCACGCUGGGAUUGGAAAACCUGAACUGGAAUUGACAAAUUGCUGCAGUGAGGUGUGGCCACAUCUGAGAGUUAAAACCUCCGGGAGGCCUGUGCAUAUGGGUCUCAUGCUUUUGUGAGUUGUAUCAUCAGAAGCUCAACCAGGUUCUUGAAGUAAACAUCAGAGAAAAAUCCCCUCAUACUUACUACAGGGGAAAGAGAAUAGGAAUCAUUUUUCAAUAUGUAGGUGCACUCUUCACUAGGUCUACCUUCCAGAGAAGCUUGUUAACUAGAGACUAACCAGGUGGGAUUUUAUCAGAGCCUUCUGACCUGGUGGAAAGGGAAAUACCCAACUCCAACCUCCAGAACUGAAAAGCAAAAAAGAACAGAGUAUCCAAGCACUAUGGGACUUCCACAGAGGCAUAAAAUAUGCAUAACGGUAAUACAAGGGGGAAGAAAGAGGAACAGAAGAACUAUUUGUAACAGUAAUAGCUGAAUUUCCUCAGAUUAAUGCCAGACACCAAACCAUAGAUCCAGGAAGCUCAAGAAACACCAAGAAGGAUAAAUGUAAAAACGACGACGACAAAAACAAAACAAAAAUAAACUCUACUUGGGCAUAAAAUAUUCCAACUAUGGUGAAUCAAAGAUUAAAAAGCAAACCGGAGUAAUCUCCUUCCCUAUGGAAGAUCAAAGAUAAGAAUUAUAUUCAACUUCCCCUCAAACACCAUGAAAGCAAGAAGUGGAGUGAAGUAUUUAAACUAUUGAGAGGAAAAAAAUUCCAUUAACCUAGAAGUCUAUACUCUGUGAAAUUAUCUUUCAAAAGUGAAGAAAAAGUAAAGACCUUCUCCGACAAAAAUUGCAAAAUUUGUUGCCAGUAGACCUGCCUUGCAAAAAAUGGUCAAAGUUCUUUAGAGAAAAUAGUAGAGGUCAGUAACUCAGCUGUACACAAAGAAAGGAAGGGCACAGUCUGUUUACAGGGCUCACACCUGUCAUCCUAACACUCUGGGAGGCCAAGAUGGGAGUACAGCUGGAGGCCGCUUAGUUGAGACCAGCCUGGGCAACGUAGUGAGACUCUGUCUCAUUAAAAAAAGCCAAACGUGGUGGCCAACACCUAUAGUGCCAGCUACUUUGAGAGGCUGAGAUGGGUCACUUCUUGAGCCCAGGAUCCCGUUCAAGGCUGUGGUGAGCUAUAAUGAUGCUGCUCCACUCCAGCCUGGGCAACAGAGAAAGACCUUGUCUGUUUAAAAAAAAAUAAAUAGAAAAACAAAAAGCAUUAAAGAAGAAAUAGUGAAGGUAGAAGAAAAUCUUUCAUUUUUCUUAAUAGAUCUAACAUAACAGUUCAUUCAUAAUAGUGACAGUAAAUAUGUCUUAUACACACACUUAAAUAUAAGUGAAAUGAACGAGAGCAGUGAUACCCAAGGGAUGGGACAGAGCAAUUAGGAAUUAGGAUUAUUUUGUUAUUAUAGUGUGCUUGCAUUAUCAAGAAACCAGUGUAGUGUCGUUUGAAAGUGGACUUGGGUUACUUGUAAAUUUAUAUUGCAAAUUCCAAGGCAGCCACUUUAAAAAAAAAAAAGGAAAAAAAAAAAAAA